rnacentral:rRNA from 1 species
CCAAUAGCGUAUAUUAAAGUUGUUGCAGUUAAAAAGCUCGUAGUUGAAUUUCGGGAUCAUCAGGUUGGUCGUGCCUCUGGUAUGUACUGAUUUCGAUGGUUCCUCCUUCUUGAAGAACCGUAAUGCCAUUAAUUUGUUGUUGCGGGGAAACAGGACUGUUACUUUGAAAAACUUAGAGUGUUUAAAGCAGGCAAUCGCUUGAAUACAUUAGCAUGGAAUAAUGAAAUAGGACGUUCGAUCCUAUUUUGUUGGUUUCUAGGAUUGACGUAAUGAUUAAUAGGGAUAGUUGGGGGCAUUAGUAUUCAAUUGUCAGAGGUGAAAUUCUUGGAUUUAUUGAAGACUAACUACUGCGAAAGCAUUUGCCAAGGAUGUUUUCAUUAAUCAAGAACGAAAGUUAGGGGAUCGAAGACGAUCAGAUACCGUCGUAGUCUUAACCAUAAACUAUGCCGACUAGGGAUCGGAUGAUGUUAAUUUUUUAAUGACUCAUUCGGCGCCUUACG